rnacentral:sRNA from 1 species
GCUAGGCCUGGGUGUGCAUGCCUGUAAUCCCAGCAGCUCGGAGGCCGAGGCAGGAGGAUCAGGAGUUCAAAGACAGACUCGACAAAAGCAAGGCACUUAGCAACUCAGUAAGACCCUGUCUCUA